ACGCAGCUGUGCAUGGGGAGAGGUAGUUUGAGUACACUUUUCAAAGGUGGGUGAGAGAAGUCGCUCUGUGUCCUAAGUUAUUGAAAGGUAGGCGUCUUUUGGGCUUUUGUAAUCGUCUUGAGUGAGGUGGUAAGUUUUCUAGUGCUGGGGUCGGUCUCACAGUUAUCUCAGGUGUAGGUGGCAGGAAAAGUGCCCGGCUCCGCGCGCUGCAAAAGGCGGGGUGCAGGUUUGCGGCCCCGCCCCCCAGCCCUAAUCAUGGUUUCUAAGUCUGUUUGUUUUCCCAGAGCCUGGCCCCGCCCUCGCCGAAGCUCCGCCUCUAAGAGGAGCUAUUUCAGAGUAUAAAAUUUGUGAAUUUAACUUUAAAUUUAACUGUGAAUAUUGUGACCAUGUUUUCUGAGUCACUCCCGGGAGGUGGAGACGUCCUGGUUCUUCGUGCGGGGUACUGUGCGUCCCUAACCCCAACUCCAUGACCUACUUCUGGGAUUUGACCUUUUUUCCCCUUUGCUUUAAGGCAGGGUUUCUCAGCAUAGACACUAUUGACAUUUAGCGUCAAAUAAUUCUUUUUAUGGGGGUAUGUUCUGUGCGCUGUGGGAUGUUUAUCUGCAUGCCCAGCCUCACUCAGUGCCAAGUGUCGUUCCUCCAGUUGUGACAACCAGAAAUGUCUCCAGACUGCCAAAUAGCCCCUCACGGGGUAAAUCAUCCUGGUAAGAACCUCUGCUUAUGAGGUAAUCAGGGUUUUGGGAAGUGACCCUUUUCAAAAGAUGGAAGCAACGAUGUCUUAUCCACAUGAACAACUUGUGGCCGGCUCGCCCUCAAUUCCAGAAGCUCUCAGUUCCGUUCCAGCUUCUCCAGUCGGUGGUCGUCCGGGGAUCAGAUCCUGUCUCGUUCCAGAAGGCGCCAGCAGAAAAGGUCCAAGCGCCACUUGCGGUCUCAACUCGCGGAGCCAGUCGCGAUCCCGCAGCAGGUCUUGCUCUCGGGAAAGUCGUAUAACAGAAGGACCAACACAAUCACGAGGGGGCGACAGUAUUACGGCUUUAACUCUAUGGCGUACAAGAAAGAACACAAUAGUUGGAGGAAGGGAUCCAGGAAGAGGUCUGGGAGCAGAAGCCCAUUUCGCUCAAGUAAAAAUGAUAAGAUGGAACUGUUAGAAAUAGCAAAAACUAGUGCAGCUAAAUCCUUAGGAAUAGUCUACCUUGACUUACCAGCUAGUCUCAGAACUGUUCCUGUAGCUAAAAAAAAGAAACCAUGUAUCAGCUGUACCAAAUACUGCAAAGUUUGAGGUAAGCCAGAUUUUUCCAAAUAAAAUAUCCAGAAAAACUACUGCCAGAAAGAUCUAGUUAGCCAUUUAUUUUUAUUUGAUUUACCUUAGACUACUCUUCUCAGAAAGUGUAGCUAAAUAUAAUUGUUAAAUUCAAAAUAACAGAUCUGAAAAUACUAGACAGGCUCUCACUUAUGAAAAUGGGACGAUAACAAACUUAAUUUUUGGUGACCCUGAAAGUCUCAUGUUCCAACAAACCCCUCCUGGACAAAAAAAGUCUGGUUUUCAGCAAUGAGUGCCAGAGAUUGGGGGAGGGGAUACAAAACCCAUAUUAUGGCCCCUGAAAAAAGAGGUGGAAGACAACACCAGUUUUAAUGGCAAUUGUCUGCUUUCCAUUGAUCACUGAUAUUGGCAACUCUGAUGUGUGAUUCACAGUAACAAAUCCAUUGUAGUAUUCUUUCAGAGCAACUUAAGUUCUAAUCAUCAGUGUUAACAAUUAACUGUUGUGCUUUGUAUGGAGCUAUUGCGAGUUUAAUUUUUAACUUUGUGAAUAUUAUGACCAUAUUUUCUAAGGGUUCACAUAAUGAAAAUGGAAGGAGAUAGACUCCUUAGAUAUAUGCCUACAAGAUGGCUGUCAUUGUUACCAGCCAUAGAAAAGAUGUUAAAAUGUUGGCUUGCGCUAAAAUUCUAUUUUCAAAGUGUGGGAAAAGAGAAUGUCCUUCUCUAAUUGGGAAUACAUUGAGUGUGAGAAUGGAGAAAAAGAUUACAGUACAACAGAAAUUUAUAUGCCCUUUCUCCAGAACUGCUUGAUGAUCUUUGAAGAGGCCAUAAGGAGCCUAAAAAAGAUAAACUGUCUGCACUGGAGUUAUUUGAUUUUAUGUGCAGGUUGUGACAAAAACUCAUACAGCGAAAAAUGACUCACUUUUUGGAAUGAAGACUGCUUUAAAACUGAAAAAAGUGUCACCAGAAAAAGGCACCCAAGUUAAACAGGACUUUCUCAAUUUCUUUACUAGAACUAUAACUUUUUUGGAAUCCAAUUUUGAUUUCACAAGGUCAAAUUAUCUCUGUGCUUUAAAACCAUUUUCUCUGAGAAAGAAAGGUUUAACUUACAGUGACAUCCAGUGUGCUUCAGAAUGUUUAAAAAUGAUGGACAUUUUAGACAUGGAUAACCUCUAUGAUGAAUUUAUAGGUGCAAAAGACCUGAUCGACAAACAGCUGUUCUAUCAAAACAAGCCUGUAGAUAAAAAAAUGGAUGGACAUCUUUGGAGAGCUGAAAAUGAAUUCCCACAAGUCUAAAAACCUGCCAUUGCUAUUUUUGGUGUCAGAAGUGGGAUCUGAAGACAACCCCCUGAUGAGCCCCGAGGCCAGUGAGUAACUAGGUGCAAGUACCUACCAAGCUCAUUGUGGUCACUCUUUUCUCAUCGACCACGGGGUUUUAGGAUCCUAUUCAGAAUACCACGUUACAUUUAGUUGUCAUGGCUCCUUCGUCUCUUGGUAGUGACAGUUUCUCAGACUUUCCUUGUUUUUGAUGACGUGGACAGAACUGAGAAGUACUGGUCAAGAAUAUUGUAAGUGUUGGUUACCAUUUGCAUGUAACAUUUCAUGAUUAAAAAUUGCUGUUUGAUUGUGAUAACACCUCUUGGGCCUACCUUAAAGCACACACAUAUACACAUAACAUGCUGUUGCUUUAGUGCAAGCAGCAUCAUUUCUCACUCUAAUCACUGCAGUUGUCUCUCUGCUUCAUCUUGGGCCUUCCUCACUAUUUCUCCAUGCAGCAGGCCAUAGAGAGGCUUGAAAAUAUAAAUCAGAUUCUAUUACAUCUGUUCUCCAAACGCUUCAGUGGCUUCUCAUCUUGUAGAAUAAAAUCCUACAAGACCCUUCAUGCUCUAGCUCCUGGCCACCUCAUCAAUAUCAUCACUUAGCUUUCUCCCCCUGGCUCACUGCUAUGUCACACUGGCUUCCUUGUCAGUCUUCUCUAGCUGGAACAUUCAUCCUCUACAUGUCCACAUGGCUGGCUUCACUCCUUUCAAGUCUCUGAUCAGACGUCCUCUCUUAAGAGAGGCUUUCCCUCACACCCUAUGUUGCAUAGCAGCCUCCCCCACAAGUGUCCUUUUUCUCCUUAGCUUUGUUUUAAUUCAAAAUAUUUAUCACUGCUUACCAUUACAUUCUAUGUCUGUUUGUUUAUUGUCUGUCUCUUCCUUUAGAAAACAAGUUUCAUACGGCCAGGCACUUUAUCCAGUUUGUUUAUUCCUGUAUCUUAGGCUCAAAGUUAACACUCAAUAAAUGUUGGUUAACUAAGUGAAUUAAUAAAAUACUGUUUUUUGUUUUUUGUUCUUUUAACAAGUUAGAUUAGCAGAUAAGAUGGUUAACAACCUGGGACUCUUAAUGUCUUUGAGUUUUCUAAAUUUCUAGGGGCUAUGGUUCACUCAUGGAUAGAUCCCUAGAAUCUGGGACAAUUCCUGGAAUAUACCGAGCACUCAGUAAAUAUAUCUAUAUUGUAAUUAAUUGGAAUGGAAUUGAAAAUAUGGGAAAUAAGGAAUCACAUUUUCUCAAAGGAAGUCUUUGUGAUGGCAGCAUAUCUGAAAGGCCGCUGAUUACAGUUUAUGCACAAGGACAAUAAUCACAAAUUAAAAUUACCCUUAUAUAAUGUCUAUUAAUAACUACUGUUAUAGACUGAAUUUUGUCCCCCCCAGUCACCAACCACUCCCUAUAUUGAAGCCCUAACCCCCAAUAUAACUUGGAGAUAAAGCCUUUAAGGAAGUGAUUAAGAUUAAAUGAGGUCAUAAGGGUGGGACCCUAAUGCUUUAGAACUGGUAUCCUUAUAAGAAGAAGAGACACCAGGAGCACGAGUGUCCAUGUAAGGGCAUAGUAAGAAGGCAGCUGUCCACAAGCCAGGAAGAGAGGUCUCACCAGAAGCCAACCCUGCCACCACCUUGAUCUUGGACUUCCAGCCUCCAGAACUGUGAAAAAAUAAAUUUCUGUUGUUUAAGCCA